GGGAUAAUACUUUAUAGGAUCAUUUCUGUAAUACAUUUUCGCAUACUCUCUACUCAAACGUAGAGUUGUCGUAACCACGAUGACGAGUUUGAGUUUUUUGUUCUGAGCGUGAGGCAGACUUUCAUUGAUCAUUCCAGAUCUUUGAAAACUGCCGUUGUACUUUCUAAAUAAUUAUUUAUAAAGUGUCAUAUGCAAUCUUGU